CCAGGCAGCAGCCUGGUGGAUUUUCCUCCUCUUGUUUAGAAAGUGGAGGGGUAUACCAGGAAAAGAUCUCUCUGUGGCUAUUCUGACCUUGUACUCCUUCCUCAAGCACCUGCUGUUGGUCAUUGUCAGAGAUGGGAUCAAUCUGACCUAACAUGACAAACUCUGCAUACCUCAGCAGUCAGCUAACGAGCCUUUCAGAGGAAGAAUCUGAUGGAAACACAAACCCACCUGAGCUGGUUGUGGGCACACUGGCAGUGCUGUGGGGAGCAAAAAUCUCCAUUUUUGUCCCCAAAAUCCUUGACCAGGAGGUAACAGUGUGGUGACAAUGGUUUCAGUGGAGCUGGGUUGACUUUACCCUGCAGGAUUCCAGAUGUGUGCAGACGCUCAUGCCAGCAAUAUACAAUAAUUUGUAAUUCCAGAAAAUUCCAUGUGGUGAUGGCUGUAUUUGCAUGUCUUCCCUAUACAUUGGGUGUGGAACUCUGGAUGUAAAGGACUGAAGGCUUAACUGCUUUGCUUUCACAAAAAAGUCAUGUAAUGGACAUUUUUUAGGUCCUUCUUCAGUUGUUGAUGAAUUUAUAGCAUGAGAUAUUAACUAGUGGACUGCCAUUUUCAUUCGUGACUUUUUAAUAAAAAAUGGAAAUUCUAAAAGAUUAAAUUGUUUGCAUGAAGUGACCACUGGAGUCUGAACUUGUCAAUCUUUGUUUGCUAUAUUACAAAUUUUCUCUAUUUUUCAUUAAAAGUUACCCUUUUCUGAAAGAAAA